AAAGCAAAAAAUAAAGGGGAAAACACUCUCUGCUAGGGUUUUCUUAACCCAUCAUCGCGCCGCCACUCAGCCUUCAUGCCCCGAUUUCGACGGAGAAGACGCCGGAUCGACGACUCCGGCGACCAGGUAAGGCUCUUCUCCCUUUCUUUUUAUUUUAAAUGAAAAAAUAAACAAGAAAAAUCCAAAAUAAAAAAAACACAAUUCACCUUCGAGAAAGAAAAAAAAUUUAAAUCUCGUUCUUUCUCUCUAUUUUCAAUAUGUUUUUUUACACCGAAAAAUCCCCCCUUUUUACAGAUUUUCCACGGCUUUAAAUAGCCGAAAUGGAAAAGGAAAAAUGAACCAAAUCAAACGAAUAGAAAAUCUAUUAUGUUCUUAUUGGCGUGAUUUUUGCUAUUCUGUUCGCGUUUGUUGCUGCAGGUACAAGGCGAGGCGAGGAAGGCGCGCAACUCGCGCGGAGAGGGACCCUGUCCCCGAGUCGUGCGGCGACUGGACUGCUGGAGGCGGCGGCCAAGAAUUUUCUAUUUAGGGUUUUGGUAGUUAAGGUGUGGGCCUAGGUUUAGUUUAUUUUUGUUUUGUAAUGGUCUGGGCCAAUUGGGCCUUAUUACAUAUCAAAUUGUACUUGUUUAUCCCAUUGAUGAAAAUAAUUUC
rnacentral:lncRNA from 1 species